GACGAACGCUGGCGGCGUGCUUAACACAUGCAAGUCGAACGAUGAUCCCCAGCUUGCUGGGGUGAUUAGUGGCGAACGGGUGAGUAACACGUGAGUAACCUGCCCUUGACUCUGGGAUAAGCGUUGGAAACGACGUCUAAUACCGGAUGCGACCAGCCCUGGCAUCGGGUGUUGGUGGAAAGAAUUUUUGGUCAAGGAUG
rnacentral:rRNA from 1 species